ensembl:snoRNA SNORA70 Small nucleolar RNA SNORA70
CUGCAGCUAAUUAAGCCGACUGGGUUCCUUUACUUGUGGUGGCCCAGUGUGCAAUGGCUGCAAACAGCAAUCUCCUUGGUAGUGUAUGCAGCCUGUUGCUUGUAUGGGUUGCCCUAAGGGACCUUGGAGACAGCA